CUCUUUCUCUGAAUCUCGCCCUCGGGGUUAUGUCUCAAAGCUCUGUGGUGGGAUAGACGACCCGGCCCGGGAAGCCCACUGGCUGUGUCCGAGGUCCUUCUUCGGCCACCUGAAUCGCUCGCUCCUAACUUAAACUGAAGAGAUGCUGUUGUGUCACAGACUUUUCCUGGGGAAGUACAACACACACAUCUACUCACCUCAGAUAGGAAGCCCAUGAUACAUCAAAAAGCUGAAACACCCAGAACUCACAAGAGGAAGAUGCAUGCUGACAUUCAGAAGCAAGAUGGAUCUUGAGGUGGCAAACAAAUUAAACCCGAUACAGAAAGCAAUGAGAGAGAUGAAGACAAACCAGGUGGUGUGUCCUGACAAUUCACAUCAUGAAAUACC